rnacentral:rRNA from 1 species
CCCAGACAGGCUCGUAUACAGUCGAGCGGAUGACGGGAGCUUGCUCCUUGAUUAGCGGCGGACGGGUGAGUAAUGCCUAGGAAUCUGCCUGGUAGUGGGGGACAACGUUUCGAAAGGAACGCUAAUACCGCAUACGUCCUACGGGAGAAAGCAGGGGACCUUCGGGCCUUGCGCUAUCAGAUGAGCCUAGGUCGGAUUAGCUAGUUGGUGGGGUAAUGGCUCACCAAGGCGACGAUCCGUAACUGGUCUGAGAGGAUGAUCAGUCACACUGGAACUGAGACACGGUCCAGACUCCUACGGGAGGCAGCAGUGGGGAAUAUUGGACAAUGGGCGAAAGCCUGAUCCAGCCAUGCCGCGUGUGUGAAGAAGGUCUUCGGAUUGUAAAGCACUUUAAGUUGGGAGGAAGGGCAGUAAGCUAAUACCUUGCUGUUUUGACGUUACCGACAGAAUAAGCACCGGCUAACUCUGUGCCAGCAGCCGCGGUAAUACAGAGGGUGCAAGCGUUAAUCGGAAUUACUGGGCGUAAAGCGCGCGUAGGUGGUUCGUUAAGUUGGAUGUGAAAGCCCCGGGCUCAACCUGGGAACUGCAUCCAAAACUGGCGAGCUAGAGUACGGUAGAGGGUGGUGGAAUUUCCUGUGUAGCGGUGAAAUGCGUAGAUAUAGGAAGGAACACCAGUGGCGAAGGCGACCACCUGGACUGAUACUGACACUGAGGUGCGAAAGCGUGGGGAGCAAACAGGAUUAGAUAC